rnacentral:lncRNA from 1 species
UUCUCUUUCUGACUGUGUGUGUGUGUGUGCGUGCGUGCGUGCAUGUGCCCUGUCUGACCACAUGUGGAGAGACAUGAUUGAGUGAUAGUGUGUGUCUGUGUGACUUUGUGUGGGGAGGCACUCCUGAAGAAAACUUGCCCGGUGCACACACGUAAAAUGCCUGUAUAUGGGGACAGAUACAGCACGUGCAUGCAUACACACACACACACACACACCACAGUUGAGAGGAGACAAACUAGAGUAUGUGCCCGUGGUAGGAAGUCGAGUGGUCAAGAGAUGGAUCUUGGAAACUACAUAGGUCGGUAGCAAGAGGGUAGACUCCCAUCUCACAAGAUGGGCCUCCCUUGGCCCAGGCCCUGAGCACGGGAGGGCUGGGGCCGCCAGGGAACUUGAAAACCUCAUCUCCUCACAAAGCCUGUAGCCCCAUCUCAACCCCGUCUCAGUCUCCUUCCCAAACUCAAACAAGGUGUUCCUAAAAUUGGACCACCAUGGAGAAUGGGGACUGGGAAUUGAGGAUCAAAUGUGAGGGAAACUGAUGAGGUUAGGAAAUGCCCCCCACAAAGUAAUGGCUUCUGGAGGGACUGCUCAGUCUGGGAUGGGAGCCCUUCCUAGGGGCCACUGUAUGCAGCUGGGACUUUGGUCAGCUUUGACCAAAUUUAGAGGGAGGGAUGUCAUGGGGAAAAAAAACCCAAGCCCAGGAGUCUACCCAGCCAGCCUGCUCCCUAGACAGUUAAUUUACUAUCUGGUUAUUCUCUCAGGUGCACAGAAUUGAGUUGACCAUACUCCUCAGUUCUUGGCACACUAUAUCAUCAUUGGUCCAUGUGAGGCCCUUUUAUUUUUUUUUCUUCAGUUUUGUCCCCUUCAUCACCCAUUCCUGAUCCCAUCCUCCCCGCCCCCUACACAGGCACCCACUCUCGUGUAUUUAACGUACGUCCUUCCAAUCCACCGUUCAUGUGUUUAUUUACAUAUAUGUGUAUCUGUGAAAAAUGUAUGGUAUUGCUGUGUGUUUUAAUUUACAUAAACAGUAUUGUACUAUAAA